UCUCACAUCCCUUGCAUGGUGGAGGGUGAGCUUUCUGGAAACCCCUCCCACGUGCAGGGUUUGUAGGA
ensembl:miRNA